rnacentral:rRNA from 1 species
UACGUAGGGGGCAAGCGUUAUCCGGAUUUACUGGGUGUAAAGGGAGCGUAGACGGCAAUGCAAGUCUGGAGUGAAAGCCCAAGGCCCAACCAUGGGACUGCUCUGGAAACUGUGUAGCUUGAGUGCAGGAGGGGUAAGCGGAAUUCCUAGUGUAGCGGUGAAAUGCGUAGAUAUUAGGAGGAACACCGGUGGCGAAGGCGGCUUACUGGACUGCAACUGACGUUGAGGCUCGAAGGCGUGGGGAGCAA